rnacentral:rRNA from 1 species
CCUACGGGUGGCAGCAGUAGGGAAUUUUCGUCAAUGGGCGCAAGCCUGAACGAGCAAUGCCGCGUGAACGAGGAAGGUCUUCGGAUCGUAAAGUUCUGUUGAAGGGGAAAAAGAGCGGAGAGAGGAAAUGGUCUCCGAUUGAUAUUACCCUUCGAGGAAGUCACGGCUAACUACGUGCGAGAAGCCGCGGUAAUACGUAGGUGGCGAGCGUUAUCCGGAAUGAUUGGGCGAAACGGGGGCGUAGGCGGCCUGCUAAGUCAUGGGUGAAAGGUACCGGCUCAACCGGUAUAGGCUCUGGAAACUGGCGGGCUAGAGAGUAGGAGAGGGCGGUGGAACUCCAGGUGUAGGGGUAAAAUGCGUAGAUAUAUGGAAGAACACCAGUGGCGAAGGCGGCCGCCUGGCCUGUUACUGACGCUGAGGCACGAAAGCGUGGGGAGCAAAUAGGAUUAGAUACCCCAGUAGUC